AACGAGGCCGACCUGCGGCUGAGUUACCUGCGGAAGGAUCAUUACAGAGUUGCAAAACUCCCUAAACCAUUGUGAACGUUACCUAAACCGUUGCUUCGGCGGGCGGCCCGGGUCCUUCCCGGCGCCCCUCGGCCCUCGCGGGCGCCCGCCGGAGGUAAACCAAACUAUUGCAUUGUAUGGCCUCUCUGAGUCUUCUGUACUGAAUAAGUCAAAACUUUUAGCAACGGAUCUCAGAUCGGA
rnacentral:misc_RNA from 1 species